CCAAUAGCGUAUAUUAAAGUUGUUGCAGUUAAAAAGCUCGUAGUUGAAUUUCGGGAUUAGUACGUUGGUCGUGCCUUGGUACGUACUGGUGUAACUGAUUCCUCCCUUCUGACGAACCGUUAUGCCAUUAAUUUGGUGUGGCGGGAAAUCAGGACUGUUACUUUGAAAAAAUUAGAGUGUUUAAAGCAGGCUCGCGCUUGAAUACAUUAGCAUGGAAUAAUGAAAUAGGACGUUAAUCGUAUUUUGUUGGUUUCUAGGAUAGACGUAAUGAUUAAUAGGGAUAGUUGGGGGCAUUAGUAUUCAAUUGUCAGAGGUGAAAUUCUUGGAUUUAUUGAAGACUAACUACUGCGAAAGCAUUUGCCAAGGAUGUUUUCAUUAAUCAAGAACGAAAGUUGGGGGAUCGAAGACGAUCAGAUACCGUCGUAGUCUUAACCAUAAACUAUGCCGACUAGGGAUCGGAUGAUGUUAAUUUUUUAAUGACUCAUUCGGCGCCUUACG
rnacentral:misc_RNA from 1 species